ACAAUAACAUCAAAGUUUCUUACGUUAGUGAUGUCAUAAAGAGAGGUUUUGAUUAAGAGAAAACCAGGAGGAGAGAAACAGAGGCGGUAAAGGAAGAAGGAAAGGAGCCAAGUGAAGAGGAGGUUCUGGCACUGACUGCAGAAAAUCCGUCAGACACAUUGAGUCACACAUAGAAACUAUAAAACAAAAACAUGUUAAAAAAACAAAAAAAGAGAGAAAAGACUUUUAAGUAAAUAUUUUGCAUUUAAAGAGAUAAAAAAGUAAAACAUUUCUGUUCUGGUAGAACUUUUCUGAUGUGUAAAUUACCAGAUGAUUGUGAUAGCACAGAUUCAAAGGUUUUGUUUUAUUGAAAUUACAAAAUAAAUAAAAAACAAGAACAUAAAUCUACCUAGUAACAGAUAAAAAUGUGGUCUUUAUUAACUCUGGUGUG